rnacentral:rRNA from 1 species
ACUCACCAGGUCAGGACACGGUAAGGAUUGACGGACUGAAGGCUCUUUCUCGAUUCCGUGGAAAGUGGUGCAUGGCCGUUUUUGGUUGGUGGAUCGAUCCGUCUGGUUAAUUCCGUUAACGAACGAGACCUCGGCACUCCGAAUAGCGCGGCGGACGUCGCGGCCUCCGGGCCGUCUUCCGCACGAGCUUCUUAGAGGGACCGUCCCCCGCCGGGGAAGGAGGUGCGAGGCAACGACAGGUCUGUGAUGCCCCUUAGAUGUUCUGGGCCGCACGCGCAUUACACUGACGCGUCCAACGGGUGACUCCCGACCCGAAGGGGCCGGGGAAUCCGCAAGGCGCGUCGUGAUGGGGAUUGAACGUUGCAAUUGUUGUUCACGAACGAGGAAUUCCUAGUAGGCGCGGGUCAUCAACCCGCGCCGAUUACGUCCCUGCCCUUUGUACACACCG